rnacentral:lncRNA from 1 species
AGCUCGAUUACCCUCCGAGUCACCAUGCCAAGAGCUUUAUUGAGGAUUGGUCCUGACUUUGUGGAGCCCAUGGAGGAUGAUAUUCCUACUUAUGAGGAUAGGCGUCUGCAGAUUUGGAUGUUGAGUUCGAAGAUGAUAAUGAUGUUAACCCAGACUUGGGGGAGGAGAGUUUUGGCCCUGAUAUUGAUGAUGGCAUAGAUGAUUGACCAGGGAGUUUUCAUACACCCACUUUUGUUCUUACUUUGUCUUUACAAGAACUGGGGACAAUGCUAAAUUUUAAGCGAUGGGUAGGAGAUUAAUCUUGGUCUGUGAUGUUAUUUUGUUUUGAUUAUGGACAUUAUUGUGUUAUCGUUAAUUCCGGCUU